UACGUAGGCAGCGAGCGUUGUUCGGAGUUACUGGGCGUAAAGCGUGCGUAGGCGGUGUCUUAAGUUUGUUGUGAAAUCUCCCGGCUUAACCGGGAGGGUGCGGCGAAUACUGAGAUGCUGGAGUGCCGGAGAGGUAAGCGGAAUUCCUGGUGUAGCGGUGAAAUGCGUAGAUAUCAGGAGGAACACCUGCGGUGUAGACGGCUUACUGGACGGUAACUGACGCUGAUGCGCGAAAGCCAGGGGAGCAAACGGG
rnacentral:rRNA from 1 species